CGGUGGAGGGGCCGGGCGCGAGGCCGCGGAGACAGCUCGGAGCUCGGCACUGGGGAGUGGCACAGCGCUGGCGGAUCCAGGGGCCUCCUUCCUCUUUCAGCUGUGCGCCCUGGUUGUGGAGGCUCCUAAGGAGGUUGUGGCCUCGGUUUACCACCUGCCUUGGCUCCUUGGUGUUGCCAGACCCUGAAGGCAGCCCAUGCCCUGGCUGAGAUCCUUCUGGGGCAGGAUGUGCUGGAAGCAGCUGAAACAUGUGAUGAGGGCAACUUUGUGUGCAAAACUCAGAGAGCAGUUACUCAAAAAAAAGACACCCGGGCAGCAGUAACCAGGACACCAGGGUCCGAC
rnacentral:lncRNA from 1 species